GAUGAACGCUGGCGGCGUGCCUAAUACAUGCAAGUCGAGCGAACAGACGAGGAGCUUGCUCCUUUGACGUUAGCGGCGGACGGGUGAGUAACACGUAGGUAACCUACCUAUAAGACUGGGAUAACUUCGGGAAACCGGAGCUAAUACCGGAUAAUAUUUCGAACCGCAUGGUUCGAUAGUGAAAGAUGGCUUUGCUAUCACUUAUAGAUGGACCUGCGCCGUAUUAGCUAGUUGGUAAGGUAACGGCUUACCAAGGCAACGAUACGUAGCCGACCUGAGAGGGUGAUCGGCCACACUGGAACUGAGACACGGUCCAGACUCCUACGGGAGGCAGCAGUAGGGAAUCCUCCGCAAUGGGCGAAAGCCUGACGGAGCAACGCCGCGUGAGUGAUGAAGGUCUUCGGAUCGUAAAACUCUGUUAUUAGGGAAGAACAACAGUGUAAGUAACUGUGCACGUCUUGACGGUACCUAAUCAGAAAGCCACGGCUAACUACGUG
rnacentral:rRNA from 1 species